rnacentral:lncRNA from 13 species
UGUCCCAAAAGGACAACAACAGUGUCCCAAAAGGAGGACAACAAUAGUGUCCCAAAAGGAGGACAACAGUGUCCCAAAAGGAGGACAACAAUAGUGUCCCAAAAGGAGGACAACAACAGUGUCCCAAAAGGAGGACAACAACAGUGUCCCAAAAGGAGGACAACAACAGUGUCCCAAAAGGAGGACAACAACAGUGUCCCAAAAGGAGGACAACAACAGUGUCCAAAAAGGAGGACAAUAAGUGUCCAAAAGGAGGACAAUUACAGUGUUCCAAAAGGAGGACAACAGGCUUCCAAAAGGAGGACAACAACAGUGUCCAAAAGGACGACAACAACAGUGUCCAAAAGGACGACAACAACAGUGUCCCAAAAGGAGGAAAAUAACAGUGUUCAAAAGGACAACAACAUUGUUCAAAAGGACAACAACAUUGUUCAAAAAGACAAUAACAUUGUUCAAAAAGACAGUAACAUUGUUCAAAAAGACNNNNNNNNNNAAAAGGAGGACAACAACAGUGUCCCAAAAGGAGGACAACAACAGUGUCCCAAAAGGAGGACAAUAACAGUGUUCAAAAGGACAAUAACAGUGUUCCAAAAGGAGGACAACAACAAUGUCCAAAAGGAGAACAACAACAAUGUCCAAAAGGAGGACAACAACGGUGUCCAAAAGGAGGACAACAACAGUGUCCAAAAGGACGACAACAACAGUGUCCAAAAGGACGACAACAACAGUGUCCCAAAAGGAGGAAAAUAACAGUGUUCAAAAGGACAACAACAUUGUUCAAAAGGACAACAACAUUGUUCAAAAAGACAAUAACAUUGUUCAAAAAGACAGUAACAUUGUUCAAAAAGACAAUAACAUUGUUCAAAAAGACAAUAACAGUGUUCAAAAAGACAAUAACAGUGUUCAAAAAGACAAUAACAGUGUUCAAAUCAAAAUGUAUUUGUCACAUACACAUGGUUAGCAGAUGUUAAUGCGAAAUGCUUGUGCUUCUAGUUCCAACAAUGCAGUAAUAACCAACGAGUAAUCUAACCUAACCUAAGGUCCACAUGGCAUGGUGUUUAACAUGGGAUAAUCAUGCUAUGCUAGUGAAGCAUGAAUAGUCAGUAGUGACAAAUGGUAAGAGAUAGCUGAACCAAAGCCUAAGGGUGAACUGUGCCUUGCUGAUGUCACAACCAAACCCCUUGAGGUACUGAAGAGUAGACUGACUGUUUUACUAAAACCACAACCGGCAUUAUAUACAAAUGUGCAAAGAAAUAUGAAAAUGAACUAACUAAUAACGAACAAAGUUAAAAACACUGCAGAGUGUGAAGAGAGGAAACGUGAGUCUGGAAAGGCUUGCAGCAGUACUGGUAUAGACUGGAAUGGGAGGUCAUUUAGAAUGUCCUGGCAGACUAAGAGACAUUACAUUCAGAAAAUUCCCUUUUACACACACACACACACACACACACACACACACACACACAGAGAGAGAGAGAGAGAGAACCAGGGGGAUGGGGACAUUGGGAACAUUGAUUAAAGGUGACAGCAUGUCAAUUCCAAUAGAGUGUGUUCGGCCCGGGGGAGACCAAAUCUCCAUCAACACCCAGAGCACAGACACACACACACACGGCUGCAUACUCACACACACACUGGUGCAUACUCAAACACACACUGGUGCAUACUCACACACAUACACACUGGCGCAUAUUCACACACACACACACUGGCGCAUAAUCACACACACAC